UACGUAGGGUGCGAGCGUUGUCCGGAAUUAUUGGGCGUAAAGAGCUCGUAGGCGGUCUGUCGCGUCUGCUGUGAAAACCCCGAGGCUCAACCUCGGGCCUGCGGUGGGUACGGGCAGACUAGAGUGAUGUAGGGGAGACGUGGAAUUCCUGGUGUGAGCGGUGGAAAUACGCAGAUAUCAGGAGGAACACCGAUGGCGAAGGCAGGUCUCUGGGCCGUAACUGGACGCUGAGGAGCGAAAGCAUGGGGGAGCGAACAGG
rnacentral:rRNA from 1 species